UACGGAGGGGGCUAGCGUUGUUCGGAAUUACUGGGCGUAAAGCGCACGUAGGCGGCUUUGUAAGUUAGAGGUGAAAGCCCGGGGCUCAACUCCGGAAUUGCUUUUAAGACUGCAUCGCUAGAAUUGUGGAGAGGUAAGUGGAAUUCCGAGUGUAGAGGUGAAAUUCGUAGAUAUUCGGAAGAACACCAGUGGCGAAGGCGACUUACUGGACACAUAUUGACGCUGAGGUGCGAAAGCGUGGGGAGCAAACGGG
rnacentral:rRNA from 1 species